UACGUAGGGUGCGAGCGUUAAUCGGAAUUACUGGGCGUAAAGCGUGCGCAGGCGGGCUUUUAAGCCAGAUGUGAAAUCCCCGGGCUUAACCUGGGAAUGGCAUUUGGGACUGCAAGGCUGGAGUGUGGCAGAGGAGACUGGAAUUCCUGGUGUAGCAGUGAAAUGCGUAGAUAUCAGGAGGAAUACCGAUGGCGAAGGCAGGUCUCUGGGCUGACACUGACGCUCAUGCACGAAAGCGUGGGGAGCAAACAGG
rnacentral:rRNA from 1 species